UACGGAGGACGCAAGCGUUAUCCGGAAUUAUUGGGCGUAAAGCGUCCGUAGGUGGUUGACCAAGUCUGCUGUCAAAGGGUGGGGCUUAACCUCAUAAAGGCAGUGGAAACUGGUGAGCUAGAGAGCGGUAGGGGUAAGGGGAAUGCCCAGUGUAGCGGUGAAAUGCGUAGAGAUUGGGAAGAACAUCGGUGGCGAAAGCGCCUUGCUGGGCCUGCACUGACACUGAGGGACGAAAGCUAGGGGAGCGAAAGGG
rnacentral:rRNA from 1 species